AUUGAACGCUGGCGGCAUGCCUAACACAUGCAAGUCGAGCGGAUGAAGGGAGCUUGCUCCUGGAUUCAGCGGCGGACGGGUGAGUAAUGCCUAGGAAUCUGCCUGGUAGUGGGGGAUAACGUCCGGAAACGGGCGCUAAUACCGCAUACGUCCUGAGUGAGAAAGUGGGGGAUCUUCGGACCUCACGCUAUCAGAUGAGCCUAGGUCGGAUUAGCUAGUUGGCGGGGUAAAGGCCUACCAAGGCGACGAUCCGUAACUGGUCUGAGAGGAUGAUCAGUCACACUGGAACUGAGACACGGUCCAGACUCCUACGGGAGGCAGCAGUGGGGAAUAUUGGGCAAUGGGCGAAAGCCUGAUCCAGCCAUGCCGCGUGUGUGAAGAAGGUCUUCGGAUUGUAAAGCACUUUAAGUUGGGGGGAAGGGCAGUAAGUUAAUACCUUGCUGUUUUGACGUUACCAACAGAAUAAGCACCGGCUAACUUCGUG
rnacentral:rRNA from 1 species